AUUGAACACUGGCGGAAUGCCUUACACAUGCAAGUCGAACGGCAGCACGGACUUCGGUCUGGUGGCGAGUGGCGAACGGGUGAGUAAUGUAUCGGAACGUGCCCAGUCGUGGGGGAUAACGUAGUGAAAAUUACGCUAAUACCGCAUACGAUCUAUGGAUGAAAGCGGGGGAUAGCAAGACCUCGCCCGAUUGGAGCGGCCGAUAUCAGAUUAGGUAGUUGGUGGGGUAAAGGCCCACCAAGCCAACGAUCUGUAGCUGGUCUGAGAGGACGACCAGCCACACUGGAACUGAGACACGGUCCAGACUCCUACGGGAGGCAGCAGUGGGGAAUUUUGGACAAUGGGCGAAAGCCUGAUCCAGCCAUUCCGCGUGCAGGAUGAAGGCCCUCGGGUUGUAAACUGCUUUUGUACAGAACGAAAAGGUUUCUACUAAUACUAGGAGCUCAUGACGGUACUGUAAGAAUAAGCACCGGCUAACUACGUGCCAGCCGCCGCCGUAA
rnacentral:rRNA from 1 species